rnacentral:rRNA from 1 species
ACGCUCGACACCUACUGGAGGCAGCAGUGAGGAAUAUUGGUCAAUGGGCGCUAGCCUGAACCAGCCAAGUAGCGUGAAGGAUGAAGGCUCUAUGGGUCGUAAACUUCUUUUAUAUAAGAAUAAAGUGCAGUAUGUAUACUGUUUUGUAUGUAUUAUAUGAAUAAGGAUCGGCUAACUCCGUGCCACAGCCGCGGUAAUCUGAGCGGGCUGGCAAGGCG